rnacentral:lncRNA from 1 species
GUUUCUAUUUAGUCUAGCACGCACAAGUCGGAGAGUCGUCUAUAUAAGCAACAAAGUAAAUCACUAAAGAAUACAUUUAUGAAGUUAGACAUUAGUAUUUAGGCCUGUUCAACAUUAAUUCUUCAAUAGCAAACUAUGCAGUAUUUUUUUUUUAUUUUUUUUUAGGUAUUAUUCUUACAUUGUUACCCCAGGAAAUCUUAAGUCUUAUACAUACAGCCGGGAAGAACUAUUGGAUAUAAGAGCGACGUCAACUUACCAACAUUGCGACCAGGAAUACGAUUUUCCCGAAGCGGAUCCUCUGUUUGGACCACCACUCAGGACAAUGGAUCUAAUCCCAGAAGCUGACCCAAGACAACGGCGCUGCAGAAGGGGCAGACGGAGCGGCCUCCUGGUCAGGCUCCGUAGAUGUGCACAUCGCCCACCGCUCCCGAGUAUACUACUCACCAAUGUCCAGUCUCAUGACAACAAGUCCUCUCUCCUCCUUUCAUCCCUCC